AUUGAACGCUGGCGGCAGGCCUAACACAUGCAAGUCGAACGAGUGGCGGACGGGUGAGUAAUGUCUGGGAACCUGCCCGAUGGAGGGGGAUAACUACUGGAAACGGUAGCUAAUACCGCAUACCAUCGGAUGUGCCCAGAUGGGCUUAGCUGGGAGGUGGGGUAAUGGCUCACCUAGGCAACGAUCCCUAGCUGGUCUGAGAGGAUGACCAGCCACACGGCAACUGAGGCACGGUCCAGACGCCUACGCGAGGCAGCAGUGGGGAAUAGUGCACUAUGGGCGCAUGCCUGAUGCAGCCAUGCCGCGUGGAUGAAGAAGGCCUUCGGGUUGUAAAGUACUUUCAGCGAGGAGGCGUUACUCGCAGAAGAAGCACCGGCUAACUCCGUGCCAGCAGCCGCGGUAAUUC
rnacentral:rRNA from 1 species